UCACUCUGGUUUCUAAUCAAUACUCCGGAUAAAUCUUUCGCCUUUUACUAAAGAUUUCCGUGGUUAGGAGCACUGAUGAGUCUAUAUGACUUAUUUUUCGAACGCCUGGUCUUUAGACUGGGCA
rnacentral:snRNA from 1 species